CCUAUGGGAGGCAGCAGGCGCGAAAACUUUACCAUGCGGGCAACCGUGAUAAGGAAACCCCGAGUGCCACCAUAGGGUGGCUGUCCGCCAGUGUAAAUAACUGGUGAAGAAAGGGCCGGGCAAGACCGGUGCCAGCCGCCGCGGUAAUACCGGCGGCUCGAGUGGUGGCCGCUAUUACUGGGCUUAAAGGGUCCGUAGCUGGAUGUACAAGUCCCUUGAGAAAUCCGCCGGCUUAACUGGCGGGCGUUCAGGGGAAACUGUAUUUCUAGGGACCGGGAGAGGUGAGAGGUACUGCCGGGGUAGGAGUGAAAUCCUGUAAUCCCGGUGGGACCACCUAUGGCGAAGGCAUCUCACCAGAACGGGUCCGACAGUGAGGGACGAAAGCUGGGGGAGCAAACCGGAUUAGAUACCCUGGUAGUCC
rnacentral:rRNA from 1 species